UACGUAGGGUGCGAGCGUUAAUCGGAAUUACUGGGCGUAAAGCAUGCGUAGGCGGUUCCUCAAGUCCGUUGUGAAAGCCCCGGGCUCAACCUGGGAAUGGCAGUGGAAACUAGGGGACUGGAAUCUGGCAGAGGGGGGUGGAAUGCCGCGUGUAGCAGUGAAAUGCGUAGAGAUGCGGCGGAACACCGAUGGCGAAGGCAGCCCCCUGGGCUGAGAUGACGCUCAGGCACGAAAGCGUGGGGAGCAAACAGG
rnacentral:rRNA from 1 species